GAAACUGCGAACGGCUCAUUACACCAGCCUUAAUUUACUUGACCUUGACACCCUACUUGGAUAACUGUGGUAAUUCUAGAGCUAAUACAUGCACCAAAGCUCCAAUCUCCCCAGAGCGAAGCGCAUUUGUUCGCCACAAAACCAAGCGCCUCAGGGCGUUCAGUGUUGACUCAGAACAACUAAGCUGAUCGCACGGUCUUGCACCGGCGACGUGUCUUUCAAGUGUCUGCCUUAUCAACUUUCGAUGGUAGUGUAUCUGACUACCAUGGUGAUGACGGGUAACGGAGGAUAAGGGUUCGACUCCGGAGAAGGGGCCUGAGAAAUGGCCACUACGUCUAAGGAUGGCAGCAGGCGCGCAAAUUACCCACUCUCGACGCGAGGAGGUAGUGACGAGAAAUAACGAGACCGUUCUCAUCUGAGGCCGGUCAUCGGAAUGGGUAUAAUUUAAACCCUUUAACGAGUAUCUAUGAGAGGGCAAGUCUGGUGCCAGCAGCCGCGGUAAUUCCAGCUCUCAAAAUGCAUAGAAUUAUUGCUGCGGUUAAAAAGCUCGUAGUUGGAUCUGUGCUGAGCGACCGGUCUGCCCACUGGGCACGCACUGGCUCGCCCGGCUUUCCCUGCCGGUCUCUCUCUGACGUUGGUUUUAACCGGCUGGCGUCAGUGGGCUGGCGAGUUUACUUUGAACAAAUCAGAGUGCUUCAAACAGGCGUCUCGCCUGAAUGUUCGUGCAUGGAAUAAUAGAAGAGGAUCACGGUCCGAUUUUAUUGGUUUUGCUGACCGAGAUAAUGGUUAACAGAGACAAACGGGGCCAUUCGUAUUGCUACGUGAGAGGUGAAAUUCUUGGACCGUAGCAAGACGGACUACAGCGAAAGCAUUUGGCAAGAAUGUCUUCAUUAAUCAAGAACGAAAGUCAGAGGUUCGAAGGCGAUCAGAUACCGCCCUAGUUCUGACCGUAAACGAUGCCAACUAGCGAUCCGCCGGCGGAUUCAUUCGCCCUGGUGGGGAGCUUCCCGGAAACGAAAGUCUUCCGGUUCCGGGGGAAGUAUGGUUGCAAAGCUGAAACUUAAAGGAAUUGACGGAAGGGCACCACCAGGAGUGGAGCCUGCGGCUUAAUUUGACUCAACACGGGGAAACUCACCCGGCCCGGACACCGUAAGGAUUGACAGAUUGAUAGCUUUUUCAUGAUUCGGUGGAUGGUGGUGCAUGGCCGUUCUUAGUUCGUGGAGCGAUUUGUCUGGUUUAUUCCGAUAACGAGCGAGACUCUGGCCUACUAAAUAGUUGGCACAUUGCCACUGUGUGCACAACUUCUUAGAGGGAUUUUCGGUGUUCAGCCGCACGAAAUUGAGCAAUAACAGGUCUGUGAUGCCCUUAGAUGUCCGGGGCUGCACGCGCGCUACACUGGCAAAAUCAGCGUGCUUGUCCUCCCCCGAAAGGGGUUGGUAAACCGAUGAAAAUUUGCCGUGAUUGGGAUCGGACAUUGCAAUUAUUGUCCGUGAACGAGGAAUCCCUUGUAAGGGCGAGUCAUCAACUCGUCCUGAAUACGUCCCUGCCCUUUGUACACACCGCCCGUCGCUGCCCGGGACUGAGCCAUUUCGAGAAAACCGGGGAUUGUUGGCCUGACGGCUCUCUGGUCGUCUAGCCGAUGAGAACCGGCUUAAUCGCACUGGUUUGAACCGGGCAAAAGUCGUAACAAGGUAGCUGUAGGUGAACCUGCAGCAGGAUCA
rnacentral:rRNA from 1 species